rnacentral:tRNA from 1 species
GUCAAUUUAGUUUAAAGUAAAAUGUUAUUUUGUGGGAAUAAAGAAAUCAGUAGUUAAUUGAUU